rnacentral:piRNA from 1 species
UAGUUCAAGGUAAUUGGUCUAUGAGGU